GGCUGUUGUCUUUUUCAGCUAUGGCAACAAGAGACUGCAGGUCAAGCUUUUCCAGAGAUAUGUGGACCGCCUGCACUUUACCGCUGGCAGCCUCUGGGGCACCGACACGGUUGAUUCGUCUCAAUGGCUUCCCAAUGAAGAAGUUGUGCGCAAAAUUUCAUGACUUGGAUAUAUCAAGAAACCCUGAAUUCACUUAUGACUGAAUAAAGUCCUCUUUUAGGAAAUGUUUUGAUCAAGCUUGAGUUCUUUGUAAAUGAAGAUUUAUUGCGAUGGCUUAUUGUUUAAAAAAAAGGACUCAUUUAUUUAUUACCAAGGAAUGGCUGUGUAGCUGAACUGGAAUUAUUAUGAGACAGGAGGACAGUCACUGCAUAGGAAGAAUGGAUAUAUAGUUUGGAUAUAUAAUUUUUUCGCCGAGGAAAAGUUUGAUGACUUGGAAAGAUAGUUUAAGCACUGUUUUAUAAGUUUCUGGUUAUGCUGUAAACAAGUCUUUUGCUCCUUUUAAAUAAAAAUGUGAUCCAA